GACGCGGCUCGUGUCCUGCGGGCGCUGAGGCGGCUCUGGCGACGCGGGGUCGUCGUGCUGAUCGGGACGGUUUUCGCUCCUCUGUGCUUGGCGGAGUUUUUCUGCGUUGCCCUCAGAGUCUGGGGACGAGAUCCCUCCUCCAUCAGCACCUGAAGUAUUUCUGAAAGGAAACCGGUUGAACGUGUGAGAAAAAAUCACUGCAGAUCAAGGGCUGCUGGUAACCAGAUCACAGGUCUGGAGGUUGCACAGGGAUGGGAUGACACCACUGGGAGAGCUGAGAGAUGGAAGUGGCUUUUUGCAGAGGCUGCUGAAGGUUUUGGGAGCCCAUCCACAACAGUUGUGCCCGAGGAUUAUUUAUCUCAGCCCUUAAUGGGUGUUCACAGGAACAUUGCACGUAUGGGGCAUCUUCUGCGCUUCUUAACAAGAUAAGUAAGAACAACAGCUGCACAAUAAGAACACUGGAAGUGCUGGAGUGCCACUGCCCCAGAGGGCCGACAGGACCACUGUUGCUGCUGCAAGGAGCUUGGCACAGAAGAACAUCCCUGGAGCAGUGAGCUAAAUGCAUUGAGAUGUUUGGAGAUGUCCCCACCCCAUCUUCAGCCUGAAGCACCACUGAGACCCACAGCUGCUGCAGAACACAAUGAAGCUGCCAGAGGCACUAAUGGGGGGAGCUGAAGGGUUUGUAGAUAGAAAGUAAGGGGUGUGCUGUAGUGCCUACAACCAUGGAGUGCAAGAGUACCCUUCUUAAAGCCAACAGAAUGGCAUCUUUUUUGAUGGAAAUAUAACAGUGGGACUUCAGAGCACAACCAGCACCCAGCAUUCAAAACAGCAUGCGUCAGGCCAGACACAAACUGUAAGACUAUUUUAAGUCAUUAAAAAGAUACAGAAUUAGUCAUAUUUGCUUGUUAUUUCUGAGCCUUUCAUGUUUCCUUGGUUUUGUGUUUUCAACCGUUGCUCUACUGGGAGCAGGAUACAACUUUGGGGGGGAGGAGGAACAAAGAGGACACCUGGGUUUGGGGUGCUGGGCCUCUGCACUGUGCACCAGGAGCCACAAAGUCAAGAGAGCCAGCAGAGUAUGAGACCCACAGACUCUCAGUAAGCCUUGUGAUAUUAAAAAACAUCUCUGGAAUUCAUUAAAUUCUUAGUAUUAUCUCCAACCUCACCAGUGAAUUUUAAAAUUAGCUUUGUUGUUACCUUUGCACCAGAGGUAUUUCAGCAUUGCUGCCAUGCGGGAAACAACCAGAACCGAAAGUUACAGGUGGGAAAAGUCACCCCUUUGAAAUUCUGUGACAUGGCACAGCAAUUUUGUUCUGCUGUUUUUAAGUGCUUUGCUUCUGUUCAUGAGACUAUUUCAACUACAAAUUAAAUCAGAACCUCCUGAUGGAGCAGAAUCAAGCAGCAAAGCAGCACUGAAUGGCUCAAGCAGCACAGAGCAGAAACAGCGAUGGGACUCCCAGCUGCCCUGACUGCCCAUGUGCCUCAGCUGUGUGCAGCAUCACUGCCUUGCUCUCACUGCCAGCUUGCUGUGCUUGCCAGCACCCUGCAGCACCUUGUCCAAUGUGCUCACUGGUGUCAGGUGGGAUUAAGGGGUUGGGAAACUGAGGCUGUGCUGAGAGUUCCUGGCUUAGACAAAUACUGUCCUUAACACAUUUGGCAGGUAAAUUCAAAGAUAGAGCUUGGAAAAAAUGUGAGAAAAUAAUUUCUUUAUGUCCAGUUGUAGCAAUCCAUUCUCUGCCAGUGCAGCCCUGGUGCCUCAGACCUCCCUUCUGAACAGUAAAAUUAAAGAGGAGACAACAAGCCAUCAUCUAUCGCCAUAUUUAAAUCUAGCUGCUUUUUCUUAGAGCUUCCAUUUCAGAUCUGAGGCCAAACCACGGGCAUGGAUGGUCCCAAAGCCAGGAGAAACUUGCAGUGACCAGAGCUCCACGGGAGGCAGAAACAAGAAGUGCUUUCACAGAAUCACAGAACAGCUUGGGUUGGAAGGGCCCAUCAAGCCCAUUGGGUUCCAACCCCAGACACAGGCAUGGGUAGGGCUGCACCCAGCAGAUCAGACUGCCCAAGGCCCCAUCCAGCCUGGCCUUGAAUGCCUCCAGGGAUGGGGCACCCACAGCUUCUUCAGGCAAAAUGCUGCUUUACUCAGGAUACGUGCUGUUAGCUAGAACAAACGUUUCAGACCUCUUUAAAACAUUUCCCACCAAAUAACCAAAUGCAGAAGUUACUUAAAACAGAAGCGUUCCUGCAAGGCAAUAAGGGAAGAUAUAACUGAAGUCCACAGUAGCCAAGUCACACCUCAUUGUGUUUGCUUGCUGCUGACUUCACUAAAAUCUUAAACUAUAAAAAACACAUUGGUAAAGUUAAAAUGGUCAUCUUAAUGCUUCAGAGCUACACCAAUACAUGGUUUUACUAACAGUUAUAGAUUAACUUCAUAUCUAAAUCAUCACCAAUAAGUGUACUGCAUCAGCAAGCUCACUUAAAAUAAACAAAAAAUGGAUUUUAAGAUAAACAGGCUCAAGGCCAAAAAUCCACAUUCUUUGUAACCAGGGAACUGCACACAUGAAUGCAGCUAUUGGAAGAAUAAUUGGUCCACAGUUACAGGCAAACACAGCAUUUUGUUGUUUCCCCUUCCCCUUCAAUAGCUGCUGGAUUUUAAAAUUUGCAUGAUGGCUAUUUUUUUUUUACUGAAGGAGAAAAAUAGAGCUCCCAUGGGGCAGCUUUACCCUCCUACCAUAUGGAAUUGGCUUUUCUUUUUUUCAGAUUAUCUCAUUUAUUAUUAUUCGUACCUUUAAAGAGAAAGAAAAUUCUUUCCAUACUCAGACCAAUAAUGAUGUAGGAGGGAGGGAAUUAAAAAAUAAAAAGCCCCUCUCACUUGUUACUUCUGCCAGCAAGCCAGCAAUUGAGAUCAAGGCCAGCAAUUUUGCCCUUUUAUGCUUUCCCUUCUGUGUGAUGGAGGCCUGCAUCAGACACUGCUCUUCCUCGGAUUCUUUCACAAGAUAUCAGAAGUCUGCUCUCCCCACGUCAGAGCUGAAAUGAUGUGUGCCCAUAAAAGAAAGGAGAAUUUUCUCUGGUCCAGAGGAACCAGCCUGUCACCAAGUCUUUGCUACUAUUUGAUGAAAGUAGAAACCUACAUGCAAACCUGUAGGGUUUUAGCUGUUGUGAAAAUGGUUGAGCUGCUCUCCUCUUUCAGAAACUGUUUGCAUUCAGUCACCCCACAUAGCAGGAAAACCAAUUGUUCCUUAGAAAUUAUAAAAUUCUGUGCAGAAACUGUUGGUACCCAGAGAUUUCACAGCAGGCCAUCCGUUAAUUGCCUCUCCUUCCAGUCUGCAUCUGGAACAUUCAUCUCUAAUGCACCUUGCUGAGGAAUAUAUUAGUUUGUAAAGUGGAGAAGGACCACAAAGAAAACUGCUGAAUGCAUACAGUGCCUUAACGUAACAAUUUGCAAGUAGCCUUACUGCUAGCAUGCCCCACUCUAACUUUGCACAAGUUUUUUAUUUUGCAAUGGUAGGUCACAUUCAGCAAACUGGUGACCAUCAAGGCCCCUUUCCAAACGAAAUCAUUCUAUGAUAGAGUGCAUGAAGAAUUACACGGUUUCAUCAGUGAGAUCAUUGAUUUGCAAGCUCCAACACUGUACUCCUUUUUCCUCUUUUUAACCCAAUUAUAGGCUUUGCUGAAACACAGUGCAGUCAUUUCUGGCACAAACUCAAGUCACCCUGCAUAUAGCAGUGCUAUCCACAUCACUUCUAGGAGAAUCUGCUCCAUUAAUUUCCCAGGCACAGAGGUUGAGAAUGCAUAAUCCUACGUCAAACACCAGGCAGAAGGUGCGGCUCUGACAAUCCAGUGACUCCUGAGUGCACAGGAUAUCAUCAGCAUCCACACUGCUGUGUUUGGCAGGACAGCAAGGUGACUUCACGUGCCUUGGGGUGAGACGUGCCAGAGAAACCGAAGCUCCUGCAUCCAGCGGUGGAACCGUGAUCAGUCACACCUCCAGAGGGCGACGGUCCGGC